GGCACUGUAUCAUAGUAGGUAAGGAAUUGGGCUUGUAACCGAAAGGUCAUAGGUUCGAUUCCUGGGUAGGACACUGCCA
rnacentral:tRNA from 1 species